rnacentral:rRNA from 1 species
GUGGGGAAUCUUGCGCAAUGGGCGAAAGCCUGACGCAGCCAUGCCGCGUGAAUGAUGAAGGUCUUAGGAUUGUAAAAUUCUUUCACCGGGGACGAUAAUGACGGUACCCGGAGAAGAAGCCCCGGCUAACUUCGUGCCAGCAGCCGCGGUAAUACGAAGGGGGCUAGCGUUGCUCGGAUUUACUGGGCGUAAAGGGCGCGUAGGCGGACAUUUAAGUCAGGGGUGAAAUCCCGGGGCUCAACCUCGGAACUGCCUUUGAUACUGGGUGUCUUGAGUAUGAGAGAGGUGUGUGGAACUCCGAGUGUAGAGGUGAAAUUCGUAGAUAUUCGGAAGAACACCAGUGGCGAAGGCGACACACUGGCUCAUUACUGACGCUGAGGCGCGAAAGCGUGGGGAGCAAACAGGAUUAGAUACCCGGGUAGUCC